rnacentral:rRNA from 1 species
UACGUAGGGUGCAGGCGUUAAUCGGAAUUACUGGGCGUAAAGCGUGCGCAGGCGGUUUGCUAAGACAGGUGUGAAAUCCCCGGGCUUAACCUGGGAACUGCGCUUGUAACUGGCAAGCUAGAGUGUGGCAGAGGGGGGUGGAAUUCCACGUGUAGCAGUGAAAUGCGUAGAUAUCGAGAGGAACACCUGCGGCGAAGGCGGGUUGCUGGGCUGACACUGACGCUGAAGCGCGAAAGCUAGGGGAGCGAACGGG